rnacentral:tRNA from 1 species
GAUCCGGUAGCUCAGUUGGUAGAGCACCUGACUUUUAAUCCGGUGGUCGUGGGUUCGAACCCCACCCGGAUCACCA